rnacentral:rRNA from 1 species
CCAGCUCCAGUAGCGUAUAUUAAAGUUGUUGCAGUUAAAAAGCUCGUAGUUGGAUUUCUGAUGAGCCGAUGCGGCCCGCUUUCUUUAUGGGAGUGUGUGCUGCGUCGUGCUUGUCAUCCUUCCAGUUAGCUAUGCCUACCGUUCAUUCGGCCGGGUAUAUGUGAGCUGGAUCUAUUACUUUGAAAAAAUUAGAGUGUUUAAAGCAGGCUUAUGCUAUGAAUACAUUAGCAUGGAAUAAUAAUUUAGGACUUUGGUUCUAUUUUGUUGGUUUCUAGGACUGAAGUAAUGAUUGAUAGGGAUAGUUGGGGGUGCUAGUAUUCCAUGGCCAGAGGUGAAAUUCUUGGAUUCAUGGAAGACUAACUACUGCGAAAGCAUUCACCAAGGAUGUCUUCU